rnacentral:misc_RNA from 1 species
UUUUUUUUUUUUUUGUAUUUGACAAAAUUGACUCCUAUGGUUUAAUUAGUAACAUAUUUAUCAAAGGCACAAAACACAUUAUGCACAAAAAGGGUCUGGAGUCUAGGUGCAUGAUGGAGAUCAAGUAGCAACCAAUGAAGCAAUCUAAGGACCCAUCACAAGAUCAAUGGCAAAGAAGAUACAAGGAUUGGUGCAAAAACACGUUGGUCGAACCUGCAUAGAUCAAUUGAAGCAAGGAUGAUAAUAUUGAUGCAAGUUUGCUUGGAUGGAAAACAUGUGCCGAGAGUUGCAUAAGAUAUGACAUAGGGCGUGUCCCCGGAUAGUAUCACAUUUUCAAGCUGGCUGAAAAUUUCGGACGACUUGACAUUGGGCAUAUUGAGUUCACUGAAUCUAACACUGGAUAGGGACAUGAGGCACGUCACUUCUCAGGAAAAUCUCGACCCCAAAAAAAUAAACUUCACAGCUUUGGUGCUUCAAAUGUCAGCCAUGUGCCAAAGCUCCCAUGCAUGUGUUUCCCAUCAAAUAUUAGAUGGUGCAAGCAUGUAAUGUUCAUAUUAGAAAAGAAUGCAUUUGUUUUCUUAGUUUACUUUUUAUGCUUUCCGUUUUUGUUAAAAUGUCACUUUCAACUUUUGUAAAGUGUGUAAAAGAGGUUGUUUUGAUUGGUUGCUUACCUCUUUUAGCAGAAAACUUCUAAGACAUAAAAAUAGAUGUUCGGAUAUUAUUUUGAGUGGAGGCCCUCCCAAAGAUGAUGAUGAGUGACAUGGACUAUGCGGUAGAUGGCACUGCCUUGGUUGUGAUGCGUGCUUUGAAUGCACAAAUAAAAGAAAAUAGUAGGGAUGAAUUGCAAAGGGACAACAUUUUCCACACUAGAUGCUUGAUACAAGAGCAUGAUCAUUGGUAGUGGGAGUUGUGCUUAUGUAGCUAGCACUUUGUUGGUGGAGAAGUUGGGACUGCCCACUACAAAACACCCUAGACCUUAUAAGUUGCAAGGGCUAAAUGAGUGUAGUGAAGUGAAGGUGAACAAACAAGUGAUGGUUGCAUUUUCUAUUGGGAAGUACAGGGAUGAGGUGCUUUGUGAUGUAGUACCCAUGCAUACUGAACACAUUCUACUCGGUAGGCCUUGGCAAUUUGAUAAAAAGAUGACACAUGAUAGGUAUAGAAACCGGUACUUUUUUGACAAGGAUGGCCGAAAAGUCACCUUGGCACCCUUGACUCCUAUGCAUGCUUAUGAAGACCAAAUGAGAAUUAAGAGGUCCAUAGAAGAGAAAAUUCAAAGAGAGGCCAAACAAAGAGAGAAUGAAAAGAAAUAGAAGUGUGAGUAAGAAAAAGAAAGCAAAGAAAAGAAAAUAAGGAGAGUUGAAAAAAGAGAGUGUUCAGGGCAAAAGGAUGGAAUGAGAAAAAGAAUGAGAGAAAAGUGAGAUUAUAUACAAAGCCAAAAAAGAGAGAGAGAGAGAGAUGUGAGGAGUGCAUUUUAUGCAAGUAAACCUAUCCUUGUAUUUGUGUGCAAGGAUGCCUACUUGAAUGUUUCUUACAUUGGCCCUUCUUUGCCUAGUUCUGCUGUUGCUCUUUUGCAAGAAUAUGAAGAUAUAUUUCGAGAAAAGGUGCCUAGUGGAUUGCCACCCAUUAGAGGCAUUGAGCAUCAAAUCAAUUUCAUUCCUGGUGCAGUCAUACUAAACCGGCCAACAAAUAAGACCAAUCCUGAAAAGGCCAAGAAACUUCAAAGGCAAGUGGAGAAGAUCCUAACAAAAAGACAUGUGAGGGAAAGCACGACUCCUUGUGCCGCACCUGUAUUGCUUGUGUCAAAGAAUGAUGGUACUUAUAGAAUGUGAGUGGAUUGCAGAGCUAUCAACAAAAUCACUGUAAAGCAUAGACAUCUUAUCUCUAGACUUGAUGACAUGCUUAAUGAGUUGCAUGGUACAUGCAUAUUUUCUAAAAUUGAUCUGAAAAGUGAUUACCAUCAAAUUAGAAUGAAAAUUGGUGAUGAAUGCAAAAACUACUUUUAAGACCAAAUAUAGAUUGUAUGAAUAUUUAGUUAUGUCAUUUUGGCUAACUAAUGCACCUAGCACUUUCAUAAGAUUUAUGAAUCAUGUCUUGUAUGCAUUUCUUGGAAAUUUUGUUGUGCAUUUUGCUGACAUAUUAGUGCAUAGCAAAAACAUGAAUGAGCAUUUGUAUCAUUUAAAAUUUAUUUUUGAUAUACUUAAGAAAGAGCAAUUGUAUGCUAAUUUGCAAAAGUAUACAUUUUGGAUGGAAAAAG